ACGCUUUCGUCCUCAGCGUCAGUAUAUUGUUAGUAAUCUGCCUUCGCAAUCGGUAUUCUGUGUAAUAUCUAUGCAUUUCACCGCUACACUACACAUUCUAACUACUUCACAAUAACUCAAGUCUUUCAGUUUCAAAGGCAAUGCUACAGUUGAGCUGCAGGAUUUCACCUCUGACUUAAAAGACCGCCUACGGACCCUUUAAACCCAAUGAUUCCGGAUAACGCUUGGAUCCUCCGUAUUACCGCGGCUGCUGGCACGGAGUUAGCCGAUCCUUAUUCGUACAGUACCGUCAAAUGCCUACACGUAGGCACAAUUCUUCCUGUAUAAAAGCAGUUUACAACCCAUAGGGCAGUCAUCCUGCACGCGGCAUGGCUGGAUCAGAGUUGCCUCCAUUGUCCAAUAUUCCUCACUGCUGCCUCCCGUAGGAGUCUGGUCCGUGUCUCAGUACCAGUGUGGGGGAUCUCCCUCUCAGGACCCCUACCUAUCGAAGUCUUGGUAAGCCGUUACCUUACCAACUAACUAAUAGGACGCAUGCCCAUCUUCUACCGCCGGAGCUUUCUUCAAAAAUCUAUGUGGAUUAAUGAUCGUAUGGGGUAUUAUUCAACAUUUCUAUUGACUAUCCCCCUGUAGAAGGUAGGUUGCAUACGCGUUACUCACCCGUGCGCCGGUCGUCAGCGGAUUGCAAGCAAUCCCUGUUACCCCUCGACUUGCAUGUGUUAAGCCUGCCGCUAGCGUUCAUCCUGAGCCAGGAUCAAACUCU
rnacentral:rRNA from 1 species